GGUGAGAUGGCCGAGUUGGUUAUGGCGCCAGGUUAAGGUCAUCUUAACAUCAUUUCCUGGUCACGAAAGUGGCGUGGGUUCGAGUCCCACUCUCAUCA
rnacentral:tRNA from 1 species